CUCUCGUGUCCCCAGGACACGCUAGGCUCCUGGCAGCGCUGUGUGACCACCUGUGAGACAGCCCUGAAGCAAGGGAAACGGGUCGCCAUCGACAACACAAACCCGGACGCUGCGAGCCGCGCCAGGUAGCGUGACCGUAGGUAGGGCCGUAGGGGGCCUGUGGCGGGGUGGGCGGGGCCUGCACAUCCAGCUCCUUCCCCCACAGGUACGUCCAGUGUGCCCGAGCCGCGGGCGUCCCCUGCCGCUGCUUCCUCUUCACCGCCACUCUGGAGCAGGCGCGCCACAACAACCGGUUUCGAGAGAUGACAGACUCCUCUCAUAUCCCCGUGUCAGACAUGGUCAUGUAUGGCUACAGGAAGCAGUUCGAGGCCCCAACGCCGGCGGAAGGCUUCUCUGCCAUCCUGGAGAUCCCGUUCCGGCUAUGGGUGGAGCCGAGGCUGGGGCGGCUGUACUGCCAGUUCUCCGAGGGCUGAGCCCCACCCAGCUCCCCUCCACAAUAAAUGCUGUUUCUCCUUGA
rnacentral:sRNA from 1 species